rnacentral:sRNA from 1 species
CUCCUAGGCAUUGUGGUAUGUAACACUGUUGACAAGGGAAGUAAUUCUAGUUAUCCUCAUCUCAACAUGAGCAUACCUGCUUACAGCUUGUUGCCUGCCCUUAAUAGCUACAUUGGAACACAAGAUCCUUCAGUGUUCUCAUCUUUUCUGAUCAAAGAUACAGUGGUGAGAAAACUUUGGGCUUUGGAGAAUACCACAUUAGAAAAUUUCAGCCAAUGUAGUAAAAGCAAAUUGUAAAACCUACAAAAUAUGACAGAAAAAAGAAUAAAGCUAAUUCUAUCUCUGUUAAAUGGUGUGAACUUUUAACAGGAACGGGCCAGAUUUGGUUUUCAUCAAUGAAGUCCACUUGAUAAUAAAGUUGGAAAGUGAAAGCCUCUACAUUGAUCACUUACUGCAAUGAUGGCCACUGCACUGGACAAAUAAAAUGUCUUCUUUAAUUGCUCACAUUGAUCAGAAUAUAAGCUUAGUUGACUUGAUAAAACAUAUCUUUAAUCUCUUCAGAAUUAUGUUAAUGUCUCUUUGACAUGAAUGAUCAGAAUUGAGUUA